rnacentral:lncRNA from 1 species
AUUCUCAGCACCACAUAUAAAUAAAUGAACAAAAUAAAGAUCCAUCAACAUUAAAAAAAAUUAGUUUUUUAAAAAAGAAGAUAAAAUGAUAGUAAAUAUAUAUGCCCUAAAUGUCAGCACUCCCAAUAUAUAUAAAAAAUACUCCUUGGCAUUAAAUCGGAAAUAGACCCCAAUACAAUACUGUAUUGUGAUUUCAACACACCCUUAUCACCAAUAGACAGGUUAUCAAAACAAAAUCAAUAAAGAUAUUUCCAACCUAAGUAAUACUAUAAAUCAAAUGGACCUUGUUUUCGCUUUUUCACUGCUGUGAGUAAAUGACCUGACCAGAACAAUCAUAGAGGAGGAGGAAUUUAUUUGAGGGCUCACAGUUUCAGAGAUCUUGGUCCAUAGAUGGCCAGCUCCAUUCCUCAGGGCUCGAGGUGAGGCUGAACUUUAUGGUGGGAGAGUGUGGCAGAGGGAAGUAGCUCACAUCACGGUGAUCUGGAAGCAGAGAGAGAGAGCACUCUCCAAAUACAAAUCUAUAUUCCAGAGCCACGCCCUAAUUCCCACCUCCUCCAGCCAUACCUUACCACUUCAAUUACCACUCAGUUAAUCCCUAUCAAGAGAUUAAUUCACUCUCACAACUCAAUCAUUUUUCCUCUGAACUGUUUUUCAUUGUCUCAUAAUGAGCUUUUGGGGGACACCACACAUACAAACCAUAACAGACCUAAUACACAUUUAUAGAAUAUUUAACCCUCAAACAGCUAAAUUUACCUUCUCAGCAGCUCAUGGAACCUUUUCCAAAAAAGACUAUAUUCUAGGUAGAAAUGUAAGUUAUAGCAAAUACAAAAGAGUCUAUAUAAUCCUGUUCAUAUUACUGAAUUUUAAUGGAAUAAACUAGGAAUGAAUAGCAAGAAAAAUAAUAGAAACUACAUAAACAUGUGGAGAUUAAAUAAUACUCUUUUAAAUGAAGACUGGAUUAAAGAAAUGAGAGAAGAAAUUCUGAGAAUCAAAUGAGAACAUAGAUACAACAUAUCAAAAUCUCUGGGAUGGUAGGAAAGCAGUUCUAAGAGGAAAGUUCAUAUUAUUGAAUGCCUACAUUAAAAGAACAUAUAUACCAAAUAAAUAAGCUUAUAUUCUACUUCAAGGCCCUAGAAAAGCAGGAAUAAAUGAAUUCCAAACUCAGAAAAUGCAGGAAAUAAUUUAGAUCAGAGCUAAAAUUAAUGAAAUUGAGAAUAAAAAACAUUAUUGUUUCAGGAUCAAUGAAACAAGAUUUAGUUCUUUGAAAAGACAAAUAAGAUUGAUAAACCUUUAGCCAAACUAACUAAAAGUAAUAGAGACCCAAAUUAACAGAAUUAGAGUUGAAAAAGGAGAUAUAAGCACAGACACUUCUGAAAUCCAGAGGUUCAUUAGAAGCUAUUUUGAAAAAUUAUACUCCAGUAAAAUGGAAGAUAUUGACAAAUUUCUAGUCAUAUAUGACCUGCCUAAAUUGAACCAGGAAGAUAUAGAAAACAUAAACUAAUAUCAAGUAAUUAAAUUGAAACAACACUUAAAAAUCUUCCAACAAAGAAAAGCCAAGAACACAUGGACUCUCAGCUGAGUUCUACUAGACUGUUAAAAAAUAACUAAUUGCAAUCUUCUUCAAAGUAUUCCAUGAAAUUAAAAGUGAAGAAAGACUUCCAAAUAUAUUCCAUGAAGCUAAUAUAACCAUGAUACCAAAAGCAGACAAAGACACAUCAAGGAAAGAAAACAAUAGAACAAUAUCCCUGAUGAACAUAGAUGUAAAAAUCCUUAAUAAAAUAGUAGCAAACCACAUUAAAAAAUUAAGAUAAUACACCAUGAUCAAGUGGGUUUCAUUUCAUGUAUGCAAGGUUGGUUUAACAUUCAAAUCAAUAAGUGUAAUUCACUAUACAAAUAGAAUUAAGAACAAGAAUCAAGUGAUCCUCUCAAUAGAUGCAGAAAAGGACUUUGAUAAAAUGCAGCACUUAUUUAUGUUAAAUAUACCAGCAAAGUCACCAGUACAAGGAACUUACUUCAACAUUGUAAAGGCUAUAUAUGACAAACUCAAAGCCAACAUUAUACUGAACAGAGAAAAAGUGAAUGCAUUUCCUCUAAAAACAGGAACAAGAAAAGCACUCCUUGGCAUUAAAUCUGAAAUAGACCCCAAUAUAAUACUGGGUGAUUUCAACACACUCUUAUCACCAAUAGACAGGCCAUCAAAACAAAAUCAAUAAAGAUAUUUUAUGGAGAUCCCUUAAAAAAAAAAAAAAAAACUAGGAAUGGAAACCAGUGUAUAAUCCACUUGUCCCACUCCAUGUUCUUUUUCCAAAAGAACUAAU